rnacentral:rRNA from 1 species
CCUUCGGGAGGCAGCAGUGGGGAAUAUUGGACAAUGGGGGCAACCCUGAUCCAGCCAUGCCGCGUGUGUGAAGAAGGCCCUCGGGUUGUAAAGCACUUUCAGUGAGGAAGAACGCCUGGUGGUUAAUACCCAUCAGGAAAGACAUCACUCACAGAAGAAGCACCGGCUAACUCCGUGCCAGCAGCCGCGGUAAUACGGAGGGUGCGAGCGUUAAUCGGAAUUACUGGGCGUAAAGCGCGCGUAGGUGGCUUGAUAAGCCGGUUGUGAAAGCCCCGGGCUCAACCUGGGAACGGCAUCCGGAACUGUCAAGCUAGAGUGCAGGAGAGGAAGGUAGAAUUCCCGGUGUAGCGGUGAAAUGCGUAGAGAUCGGGAGGAAUACCAGUGGCGAAGGCGGCCUUCUGGACUGACACUGACACUGAGGUGCGAAAGCGUGGGUAGCAAACAGGAUUAGAUACCCCUGUAGUC